GGGGGCAUUGCAGAGAAGGGCCAGGCUCCAGAGGAAGCAGGGGGCGGGAGCGCUCAGGCCUCUCUGAGCGGUGGGGCCGUGGUCCAUUUCUGAGCAGCCUAACAGGAAUGUCCAGCUGGCUUCCAAGUCAGAUCUGAUGUCUCAGGCGAAGGGCAGGCCCAGCUGGGUGGGAGUGGAUUCUUUCCCGCUGCCUCAUUGCCUCUCCGAGAAAGGAAGUGUGAGUGCCCGGGGCAGGCGCCCUGCACGCAGCCCAUGACUGUCUGUGGGUGGUUGUGUCCUCCACGCUUCUGCCGCUCAAGGAGGAUGCUGCUAUGGUGAGAAAACUAUGCUUCAAGAGGUAAACAGUGACUGCAGAGCCAGCCUAUGGCCAGAGUUGGGAAAGGAACACAGUCGACCGGUCUUCUGAGCCUUGUGUGAGAAGCCACACUCCCCUAACCCAUAGAGACAGCCACUGCUCUGCACUCAGCUCCCUCUCAUGACCACAGCCAGGAUCUGGCCUGUCCUUCAAGUCAGAAUGACUGAUCAAAGUCUCAAGUGCCCUCCAGGCAGAGAUAAAUAACAGAGAGGUAGAUCCUGGGAUUCUGGUUUUGUAUUUUUAAAUGGAAGGAGAGAUAAAUCAUUUCUGCUAACUGUUUUUACCUGGCUGCAGGAAAUGAUGCAUCACCAUCUUUUAAAAGAAAAUUAAGCCUUUAAUUCCAUGGCACAUGUAAUAAAAUGAUACUUCAGCUCUCUGCCUUGAA